CGGUACGGGUGCAGUAAUGCCUAGGAAUCGGCCUGGCUAGUGGGGGAUCACGCUCGGAAACGGACGCUAAUACCGCAUACGCUCCGUACGGGAGAAAGCAGGGGACCUUCGGGCCUUGCGCUAUCAGAUGAGCCUAGGUCGGAUUAGCUAGUUGGUGAGGUAAUGGCUCACCAAGGCGACGAUCCGUAACUGGUCUGAGAGGAUGAUCAGUCACACUGGAACUGAGACACGGUCCACACUCCUACGGGAGGCAGCAGUGGGGAAUAUUGGACAAUGGGCGAAAGCCUGAUCCAGCCAUGCCGCGUGUGUGAAGAAGGUCUUCGGAUUGUAAAGCACUUUAAGUUGGGAGGAAGGGCAGUUACCUAAUACGUAUCUGUUUUGACGUUACCGACAGAAUAAGCACCGGCUAACUCUGUGCCAGCAGCCGCGGUAAUACAGAGGGUGCAAGCGUUAAUCGGAAUUACUGGGCGUAAAGCGCGCGUAGGUGGUUUGUUAAGUUGGAUGUGAAAUCCCCGGGCUCAACCUGGGAACUGCAUUCAAAACUGACAAGCUAGAGUAUGGUAGAGGGUGGUGGAAUUUCCUGUGUAGCGGUGAAAUGCGUAGAUAUAGGAAGGAACACCAGUGGCGAAGGCGACCACCUGGACUGAUACUGACACUGAG
rnacentral:rRNA from 1 species